UCACCUCCUAAAGCUAAAUCAUAACAAUUUCAGACUUAACUUGGCAAUAUGAGGAAUAGUAGUCUAGUUAAUUAGUUCAAUCUAUUUUUAUCUUUAAUAAUUAUCGCAAGUCUCAUUAAAUCUCUCAUAGAUUGGCAAAAAAAUAUGGGUUAAAUCACAUCGCAAUUAUAUUAAUCCUAGUCAAUUACAAUAAGUGUCAUUAAAUGAGCAAUAAAAUUAAAUUGUUGGAAGUAUAUUGAUAACAUGUUUUUGACAUUAAAUAAAAGAUGACUUUGCGGAAAUGUGGAAGUACUGCUAUUUUUGAUAGAAACAAUUAGAUUUGGAAUUCCAGAAAAUAAAUUGAUAUUUGUAGUUAUGAAUGGUGAAAAGUUAUGACAUACAAUGUAAGAUGUAAACUUUAAUCACAAUCACAAACGUGAAAGAUUAAUUUUCUUCAAAAUUUCACGCACACAUACCGCUAUGAUUCGACAACAAUGCAAAAAGAGCAACAAUUUUCGGCAAUAAAUUACUUAAGUCGCUUACGUUUAAUAAAUUGCCAGCUUGGUACGCCGAAAAGGAAAACAACAUUCACAAGAUUAAUAAGCGAGAUAAAUUUAAUCACAAAUUAAAAUUAUUUAUGAGAAUGGAAUUUCAUUUUUAAUCUGUCGUUGGCGGAAGAAGGAAUUUUGGUGCUGGGUCAUUUUUAAUUAGAGAUCGAGUUGGCCAACUUCGGAAAUGUGUCCGUGAUCCGUCAGCGUUAACAAAGCAAUUAAGUAAAUUAGAGGAGUACUAAAGGAUAAAUUACAAUAAUCUUCGGAAGAAUGCCAAGAUACACCUUCGAAUGACCCGUCAAUUAAAUACGAUUUACAUCGACGUGUACAUCAGCGAUGCAUCUAAUUGGUGAAUGUGUAUUUGCGUUUUUUCAGCACUCGAUCAACGUAUUAUUAGGUUGGAAAGGUAUACAAAAAAUUAUAAUGUAUGCAAAUUAA